GACGAACGCUGGCGGCGUGCUUAACACAUGCAAGUCGAACGGUAAGGCCCUUCGGGGUACACGAGUGGCGAACGGGUGAGUAACACGUGGGUGAUCUGCCCUGCACUUCGGGAUAAGCCUGGGAAACUGGGUCUAAUACCGGAUAGGACCACUGCCUGCAUGGGUGGUGGUGGAAAGCUUUUGCGGUGUGGGAUGGGCCCGCGGCCUAUCAGCUUGUUGGUGGGGUGAUGGCCUACCAAGGCGACGACGGGUAGCCGGCCUGAGAGGGUGACCGGCCACACUGGGACUGAGAUACGGCCAAGACUCCUGCGGGAGGCAGCAGUGGGGAAUAUUGCACAAUGGGCGCAAGCCUGAUGCAGCGACGCCGCGUGAGGGAUGACGGCCUUCGGGUUGUAAACCUCUUUCAGCACCGACGAAGCGCAAGUGACGGUAGGUGCAGAAGAAGGACCGGCCAACUACGUGCCAGCCGCCGCAGUAACAC
rnacentral:rRNA from 1 species